rnacentral:rRNA from 1 species
UACGUAGGGUGCAAGCGUUAAUCGGAAUUACUGGGCGUAAAGCGUGCGCAGGCGGUUAUGUAAGACAGAUGUGAAAUGCCCGGGCUUAACCUGGGAACUGCAUUUGUGACUGCAUGGCUAGAGUGUGUCAGAGGGGGGGUAGAAUUCCACGUGUAGCAGUGAAAUGCGUAGAUAUGUGGAGGAAUACCGAUGGCGAAGGCAGCCCCCUGGGAUAACACUGACGCUCAUGCACGAAAGCGUGGGGAGCAAACAGG